AACGAACGCUGGCGGCAUGCCUAACACAUGCAAGUCGAACGAGACCUUCGGGUCUAGUGGCGCACGGGUGCGUAACGCGUGGGAACCUGCCCUUAGGUUCGGAAUAACUCCCCGAAAGGGGUGCUAAUACCGGAUAAUGUCUUCGGACCAAAGAUUUAUCGCCUUUGGAUGGGCCCGCGUUGGAUUAGCUAGUUGGUAGGGUAAAAGCCUACCAAGGCGACGAUCCAUAGCUGGUCUGAGAGGAUGAUCAGCCACACUGGGACUGAGACACGGCCCAGACUCCUACGGGAGGCAGCAGUGGGGAAUAUUGGACAAUGGGCGAAAGCCUGAUCCAGCAAUGCCGCGUGAGUGAUGAAGGCCUUAGGGUUGUAAAGCGCUUUUACCCGGGAUGAUAAUGACAGUACCGGGAGAAUAAGCUCCGGCUAACUCCGU
rnacentral:rRNA from 1 species